rnacentral:rRNA from 1 species
GAUCAUGGCUCAGGAUGAACGCUAGCGACAGGCUUAACACAUGCAAGUCGAGGGGCAGCAUGAUUUGUAGCAAUACAGAUUGAUGGCGACCGGCGCACGGGUGAGUAACGCGUAUCCAACCUGCCCAUCACUUGGGAAUAACCUUGCGAAAGUAAGACUAAUGCCCAAUGAUAUCCCACGAAGGCAUCCGAAUGUGAUUAAAGAUUUAUCGGUGAUGGAUGGGG